rfam:Blumeria graminis f. sp. hordei DH14, WGS project CATH01000000 data, contig: 003229
GGCCAGUUGGUGUAAUGGUCAGCACGUCGGAUUCUGACGCUGAGACUUCCGGAGAUGCUGGUUCGAUUCCUGCACAGGCCU